GUGUUGGGUUCCAAGUAUAAGCCUGUGUCCCUGGCCACUCUUGCCAGUACCCUCGACCUUGCCAGUAUGACAGGUCUCCAGAGACUCGAAAGGCCAGGUCAAGUGCUUGAGCAUAAGGGCCUGGCUUAAAUGGGAGUAUCUGCUUCAAUACAACCCCAAAUGCCAGUCACACACUGAGGCUCCUGCAAGGUCAGUAAGUAUUUACCCUAAUUUCAGACCCACUCCCAAGAACUCACUUUUAGAAGCUGUGGUGGCAUUUGGGCCCCUCAUCUUCUGGUAUUAUGUUUUCAAAACAGACAGGGACAGAAAGGAAAGACUUAUCCAGAAAGGAAAUUUAAAAUCGCCUACUAAGUUUGGCA
rnacentral:lncRNA from 1 species